UACGAAGGGGGCUAGCGUUGCUCGGAAUCACUGGGCGUAAAGCGCACGUAGGCGGAUCUUUUAAGUCAGGGGUGAAAUCCCAAGGCUCAACCUUGGAACUGCCUUUGAUACUGGGGAUCUCGAGUCCGGAAGAGGUUGGUGGAACUGCGAGUGUAGAGGUGAAAUUCGUAGAUAUUCGCAAGAACACCAGUGGCGAAGGCGGCCAACUGGUCCGGUACUGACGCUGAGGUGCGGAAAGCGUGGGGAGCAAACAGGG
rnacentral:rRNA from 1 species